rnacentral:rRNA from 1 species
AUACGGAGGAUCCGAGCGUUAUCCGGAUUUAUUGGGUUUAAAGGGAGCGUAGGCGGACGCUUAAGUCAGUUGUGAAAGUUUGCGGCUCAACCGUAAAAUUGCAGUUGAUACUGGGUGUCUUGAGUACAGUAGAGGCAGGCGGAAUUCGUGGUGUAGCGGUGAAAUGCUUAGAUAUCACGAAGAACUCCGAUUGCGAAGGCAGCCUGCUGGACUGUAACUGACGCUGAUGCUCGAAAGUGUGGGUAUCAAACAGGAUUAGAUACCCUGGUAGUCUACACAGUAAACGAUGAAUACUCGCUGUUUGCGAUAUACAGUAAGCGGCCAAGCGAAAGCGUUAAGUAUUCCACCUGGGGAGUACGCCGGCAACGGUGAAACUCAAAUGAAUUGGCGGGG